GAUGAACGCUGGCGGCGUGCCUAAUACAUGCAAGUCGAGCGAACGGACGAGAAGCUUGCUUCUCUGAUGUUAGCGGCGGACGGGUGAGUAACACGUGGAUAACCUACCUAUAAGACUGGGAUAACUUCGGGAAACCGGAGCUAAUACCGGAUAAUAUUUUGAACCGCAUGGUUCAAAAGUGAAAGACGGUCUUGCUGUCACUUAUAGAUGGAUCCGCGCUGCAUUAGCUAGUUGGUAAGGUAACGGCUUACCAAGGCAACGAUGCAUAGCCGACCUGAGAGGGUGAUCGGCCACACUGGAACUGAGACACGGUCCAGACUCCUACGGGAGGCAGCAGUAGGGAAUCUUCCGCAAUGGGCGAAAGCCUGACGGAGCAACGCCGCGUGAGUGAUGAAGGUCUUCGGAUCGUAAAACUCUGUUAUUAGGGAAGAACAUAUGUGUAAGUAACUGUGCACAUCUUGACGGUACCUAAUCAGAAAGCCACGGCUAACUACGUGCCAGCAGCCGCGGUAAUACGUAGGUGGCAAGCGUUAUCCGGAAUUAUUGGGCGUAAAGCGCGCAUAGGCGGUUUUUUAAGUCUGAUGUGAAAGCCCACGGCUCAACCGUGGAGGGUCAUUGGAAACUGGAAAACUUGAGUGCAGAAGAGGAAAGUGGAAUUCCAUGUGUAGCGGUGAAAUGCGCAGAGAUAUGGAGGAACACCAGUGGCGAAGGCGACUUUCUGGUCUGUAACUGACGCUGAUGUGCGAAAGCGUGGGGAUCAAACAGGAUUAGAUACCCUGGUAGUCCACGCCGUAAACGAUGAGUGCUAAGUGUUAGGGGGUUUCCGCCCCUUAGUGCUGCAGCUAACGCAUUAAGCACUCCGCCUGGGGAGUACGACCGCAAGGUUGAAACUCAAAGGAAUUGACGGGGACCCGCACAAGCGGUGGAGCAUGUGGUUUAAUUCGAAGCAACGCGAAGAACCUUACCAAAUCUUGACAUCCUUUGACAACUCUAGAGAUAGAGCUUUCCCCUUCGGGGGACAAAGUGACAGGCGGUGCAUGGUUGUCGUCAGCUCGUGUCGUGAGAUGUUGGGUUAAGUCCCGCAACGAGCGCAACCCUUAAGCUUAGUUGCCAUCAUUAAGUUGGGCACUCUAAGUUGACUGCCGGUGACAAACCGGAGGAAGGUGGGGAUGACGUCAAAUCAUCAUGCCCCUUAUGAUUUGGGCUACACACGUGCUACAAUGGACAAUACAAAGGGCAGCGAAACCGCGAGGUCAAGCAAAUCCCAUAAAGUUGUUCUCAGUUCGGAUUGUAGUCUGCAACUCGACUACAUGAAGCUGGAAUCGCUAGUAAUCGUAGAUCAGCAUGUUACGGUGAAUACGUUCCCGGGUCU
rnacentral:rRNA from 1 species